CAGUGAGUGAAGUCAGUUUGCAGGCUCUGAUUCCCCCUCUCUUUCAUAUGCACACCCUCCCUCUCUCAUUUCACUUCUGACUCAGAGGACGGAUUUGGGAAAAGAAAAUUAGUGUAAUUAAAUGGCUAUGUAGGAAGCUGUUGACUAUUGAGUGACAGAGAUUUGUUCCCGGCAGAAAAUGCUUGAAACACAUUCGUCCGCCUUGGUAUUAAAGUGAUUACAGUGCACACUGUGAGAAUUGUGCACCAAGAUACACUAAAUCUGCAACCGUGAGGGUGGAUUUUAGGCUGGAUCUUUCAGAAGCACUCCCGGGAGCUGGAAAUCAAAGGGAGAUGGGUGUAUGUUGAGAAGGGAAGAUCAUCUGGAGAAAAGAGAGAUUCAAAAAAGAAGACUAGGAAAGAGGAUGAUGGGAAGGAAAGAGUGGAUGAACAACACAAAACAGGAUUUGGGCCAAUUAAGAAAAUGAAAUGUGGAAUAACAAAUACAAAAGUAGCAUCUAACUGAAUAUUGUAUGCUGAUGCCAACAAAGCACUCUAGUUAUGGACGGUACAAGAUGGUAGUGUUUUUCUUAACAAUAGUCAAAUAUUUUCUUUACACUUUGUAGAAAAAUUGUAGAACACAGUAAUUCCAACAGUUCUGUUAACCAAUAUAGACCAGAUUCUCUAUUCAUUUAUAGCUGAGUAAAUCUGGUGAAAUUCCAUUGUAAUCCUGGAUGUUGCCCUGGAAUUCCACAGGUGGGACAGAGUAGAAUUUGGACCUGUAUGUAUUUCAUUAAUGUGAAGCAAAUUUAAAAAAAAAAAAAUCUUUCGCUAUUCAGACAAGGUGUAUGACUUUAAAAUGAUGCUAGUGAUGACUGCUGUCUCUUUUCUUUUCUUUUUUCUGUAGACCAUCUUGUCUUGCACUUAUGGCCUGACAGAACUCAGCACCUUGCAAGAUUGGGCCCUUAGGUUACAAUAAAAAGUCUGCUUUUGCAAACCUGCUCAGCAGAACUGUCAUUUUAGACAGGACAGAGCAGUGGAGAAUACAACAUUAUGAAUACCGUGAUGAGUGAAUGGACUAGACAUCGUGGGCCAAAUUCAUGCAUGUGUAACUCCACUUUCUUCAGUAGAGUUACACUAGGGAUGAAUUUGGCCUAUUAGUUUUUUCUGCCCCCAACUCCUUUGUUGUAGAAGACAUUCAUUUUAAUUAGGGUUACCAUAUGUCUGGUUUUUCCCGGACAUGUC